AGAGGUUGCGAAACAGGAGACAUGUCCUUGCUUCCUCAACAUUUUCAGAUGGACUCCAGAAUCGCCAGUGACACACUUAUACACACGUCUUUGCAAGUCCAGGUUCUGUUCGAUCAUUGCCAUCAGGCACCGGCAGGUGGCACCCAAACAGGGACCCUGAAAAGCAGGGAUUUAGUGAAGGAUGCCAUGGAACGGAGAGCGCUCGGAUGCUGAAAAUGCACGCUGGUUGCCAGAACGGCUGGUGCGGUUUGCUGAGUUUGGUGAGUCUGUGGCUGACAAGGAUCCAAGGUGUGAUUGAUGACGAGUCAGAGCAGUAUUGGGCAUAUGUUCCUGAUCCUCCAUUUCUACAUCCAGCAGUAUGGGAGGGUCCAGAAAUCAUUGUGAUAGUAAAUGAUUCUGCUCUCCUAAAUCACCCCACUAAUAAGGAUCUUAAAUCACAAAAAGAAGUAAAUUAUACAUAUGAAGGGAAAGGUGUGGGGACUCCCAUUUGUUUUGUUAAC